rnacentral:tRNA from 1 species
UCCUCGAUAGCUCAACGGCAGAGCAUGCGGCUGUUAACCGCAGGGUUACUGGUUCGAGUCCAGUUCGAGGAG